rnacentral:rRNA from 1 species
UACGUAGGGGGCAAGCGUUGUCCGGAAUUAUUGGGCGUAAAGAGCGCGUAGGCGGUCCGAUAAGUCGGCUGUGAAAGUCAGGGGCUCAACCCUCGAAUGCCGGUGGAUACUGUCGGGCUAGAGUGCGGAAGAGGCGAGUGGAAUUCCUGGUGUAGCGGUGAAAUGCGCAGAUAUCAGGAGGAACACCUAUUGCGAAGGCAGCUCGCUGGGACGUAACUGACGCUGAGACGCGAAAGCGUGGGGAGCAAACAGG